CGAUCACUUCUCAUCUCUUUUUACGUGAUAAGUCUGAUCAUAAACAGUCACUGGUAACCGAGAGAAAAUGUUAAAUAAAUUAUCGUGUGGAGACGUGAAGGAAAUAUUGGUGGAAUUAAAUGAACAAGCGGCGUGUGGCGCUUGUGAUAGUGCUGCAGUCUCCUUGUCACUGACUGACUCACCACACUACGUCUCACAGGCUGGUGAUCACUCGUGAGGUGUUUACUAAGACAUACACACAUACACACUUGACAUGUCACGGAAGAUCAUCAUUUCCAGUAUAUCAGUCGCCAUCACUGUAAUAUUGGUAGUCCACUUUAUGCUGUAUGAGGACAAUAUCUUCCCGCUGGACCUGAUGCCUUGGUCACGAGAAUAUGACAUUAGCGAGGUAACAGUCAACCCCAACUAUACACACACAACAGAGCCCACGAGGACGCACCAACCAGGUAAUAUUUUGGUUCUCAGCUCAGAAGGAAGAAGUGGAUCUAGCUUUUUAGGCUCACUGGUCGCCUCACUGGGACGAAACAUGUAUUUCUUUGAGCCAAUAAGAACCCUGGAAUACGAUAUACCCUCCACUAUUACCAAAGAAAUGAUGGUGACCGAACUAAGGAGAAUUUAUCACUGUGAAAUGAGAGACAACAUGAUUGAUAGUGAUAGUUAUAAGUCAACUAUUUAUUAUCAACAUACGGUUGGGUGUGGGAGACCUUAUCGUGUAAUGAAGAGGAAGAAGGAGGAAAUUAGAAUGGCAAGACGAAUAUGUAACAGAAUGCCAGUGAAGAUUAUCAAGACCAUUAGGUGUCGUCUACAGUGGAUAUCUGAGCUACUACAAGACACCGAGUUGGAUCUGAAGGUGAUUCAUCUGGUGCGGGAUCCUCGAGGAAUUCUUCUAUCAGUGCAUAAUUCUUAUGGUGGAGAUGUCUCGACCCACGUGUGUUCUUCGUUAUUCCAGGAUCUACAACAGCAACAGUAUAUGAAGGAGAAAUUUCCCAACAGCUACUUCUUUGUUAGGUAUGAAGACCUGUGUCAGGAUCCUUACGGCAAGACCAGCGAAAUAUUCAGGUUCCUGAAGGGAGAAGGGAAUGUCUCCAGUAGCACUAACUCCUCUUCUUCAGCGUCUCCGUCACAAGAUAUCCCCAGGUGCGUCCGUGAGUUCCUUCAUACUCAUAUGGAGAAAACUGUGCACAACUCUUAUAGCACCUUCCGGAACACAGCCACAACCUGGCAGAAGUGGAGGUCGUCGAUCUCCCAGAAGUCACUGAUGACCUGGGAACGAGAAUGCUCCGACGUCCUUCACAUGAUGGGCCACAGGAUCUUUGGGAGUGUUGACAACGCCAGGAACCUUUCAUUGUCCUUGUUUGUUGGGGCGUGAGGACAACAGGAUGUGUGUAGGAGUACCAGGAUAGAAAUAUGUAAACCUGAGGUCAAAAGUUCGCUCCCUCCCAAACUGAAGCAGCUUCGACCCCAAAUGGGACAAAACAACACGCCCGCACCAGAUGACAGUCAAGGAAGCAUACGAGAGAACCAUGUCAAGAAGAGUGUCCAUAUUCCCCAUCUUCGUAAUGUUUAUCAUAGUCUUCACGUGUGGUUGGCUGAGUAUUGCCUUAUUGGUGUUGGAAAGUACAUGUGUUGAGCACGUUAACCGUAACUACCAUACGGAUCGUUUCCAGGCAUCAAAAAACCUCAACGACCAUCAACCGCUACGUAAGGUCGUUAACCACCAGGAACUAGCCGAGUUUAACGAGCAUCAACCACCACACAAGGUCGUUAAUUACCAGUUACAUGACGACCUCAACGACAAUCAACUACCAAAUGACCUCAACAACAACCAGACACAAGACAACAAUAUCGACCACCAACCACCACACGAUCACCAAUCACCACACGACCACCAACCACCACACGAUCACCAACCACCACA
rnacentral:misc_RNA from 1 species